CGUUCCUUCUGCGCUUCUUUUCUUACCAUAAAUCAUUGCUCUUACAAGCUAGAAAUAAGAUCUUUUGGUCCAUCAAUAGUCCUACGGUAGUAACGAAGAGUGACAUCCCGAUCCUUCUUCUUUCUUACACUCCAAUUCAUUAUCUGCAUUCAAUAUACUAAAAAAAGAUAAAUUUUUAAAACAAUCAUCACAUGAAGCCUCAUUCAGCUGAUCAUCUACAGAAAUCUCUCUAGAAAAUAUACAGGAGGUUCUUUGAAGUAAAAAAUACAUAUAAAGGACAUAAAUACAAGGAUCUUUGAAGAUAUACUGUAGAAUAUCA
rnacentral:lncRNA from 1 species